UCGAGGCAGGCAGCGGAACCACUGAGCUAAAUACCUGGCCCUCAAAUUUGUAUUAUUCUUGAAUGCUGCUGUUUGGUCUUUACUGAUGAAGAGUUAUUAUGCUGAGUCCUUAUGGAGUGAGAGAGCCCGACGUGGAUCCCAGCACUGCAGAGACUGAGGCAGGAGGAUCACUGGAACCUUGAGCCAGCCAGGCCAGCUAUACAUAGUGAGUUCAAGGCCAGCCCAAACCACAUGUACUUUCUUUUGGACCCUUGGAUGCCCAUUGGACAGACACUUGAAAUCUGCAAGUCAUCUUCAGAUUGUAGCUGGACCAUCAGGCCUUUCCUUUGUGUGGGGAGGAGAUAGCCCAUGUGCUGUGGAGAUGAACAGGGAACAGCAGCUUGAUCCAGAUGCUGGAUCUGGUAUGGAAGAAGUGGAAUUAAGCUGGGAAGAUUAUCUAGAAGAGACAGGGUCCACAGCAGUUCCCUAUGGGUCAUUUAAACAUGUGGACACACGUUUGCAAAAUGGAUUUGCUCCUGGUAUGAAACUGGAGGUGGCUGUGAGAACAAAUCCUGAAACCUACUGGGUUGCCACCAUUAUUACUACCUGUGAGCAGUUGCUCCUCCUCCGCUAUGAUGGCUAUGGGGAGGAUCGGAGAGCAGACUUCUGGUGUGACAUUCGAAAGGCUGAUCUCUACCCCAUUGGAUGGUGUGAGCAGAAUAAGAAGACUCUUGAAGCCCCAGAAGGCAUCAGAAAUAAAGUGUCUGAUUGGGAUGCCUUUCUGCGGCAGGCCCUGACUGGUGCAUGUAGUCCUCCUGUUCCACUGCUAGAGGGCCUCCGCCAUGGAAGGAAUCCUUUAGAUCUCAUUGCUCCAGGCUCCAGGCUAGAAUGCCAAGCUUUUCGGGAGUCUCUAAGUACUUGGAUUGUUACUGUAGUAGAAAACAUUGGGGGACGGCUGAAGCUGCAUUAUGAAGGACUUGAAAGUCCUGACAAUUUCGAACAUUGGUUGUAUUACUUGGAUCCAUUUCUUCAUCAUGUUGGUUGGGCCGCUCAACAGGGAUAUGAACUUCACCCUCCAUUAGCCAUCAGACAUUUGAAAAAUGAAGCUGAGUGGCAGGAGAUUUUGGCCAAAGUCAAAGAGGAGGAAGAAGAGCCAUUACCAUCUUAUUUAUUUAAGGACAAACAGGUUAUUGGCAUUCAUACAUUCUCUGUAAAUAUGAAAUUGGAAGCUCUGGACCCAUGGUCACCUUUUGAGAUCUCUCCUGCUACGGUUGUUAAGGUUUUUGAUGAGAAGUACUUUCUGGUGGAGAUGGAUGACUUGCGGCCAGAGGGCCAUACACGGCGAUCAUUUGUGUGCCAUGUUAACAGUCCUGGCAUCUUUCCUGUGCAGUGGAGUCUAAAGAACGGUAUACAUAUCAGCCCACCUCCAGGCUACCCAGGCCAGGACUUCGACUGGGCUGACUACCUCAAACAGUGCGGUGCUGAAGCUGCUCCCCAGCGGUGCUUCCCCCCGUCAGUUUCUGAGCAUGAGUUUAAGGAGAACAUGAAGCUUGAGGCAGUGAACCCUCUUCUCCCUGAAGAAGUGUGCAUCGCCACCAUUACUGCAGUCAGAGGCCCCUACCUGUGGCUCCAGCUGGAGGGAUCUAAGAAGCCUGUACCUGAAUGUAUUGUGAGUGUGGAAUCCAUGGAUAUAUUUCCUUUGGGCUGGUGUGAGACCAAUGGCCACCCCCUCAGCACUCCUCGCCGGGCACGAGUCCAUAAACAGAGGAAAAUUGCGGUGGUUCAACCAGAAAAACAAAUACCAUCCUCGAGACCUGUUCACGAGGGCCUAAAGAGUCAAGAGCUGAACUCUGCAGACUCAGUUACAAUUAAUGGAAAGUAUUGCUGUCCAAAGAUAUAUUUCAACCACCGUUGCUUCUCAGGGCCAUAUCUUAACAAGGGAAGAAUUGCUGAGCUCCCACAAUGUGUAGGACCUGGGAACUGUGUUCUGGUCCUCAGAGAGGUCCUCACUUUACUUAUCAACGCAGCCUAUAAGCCCAGUCGUGUUCUUCGGGAGCUCCAGCUGGACAAAGACUCUGUGUGGCAUGGUUGUGGGGAAGUUCUAAAAGCCAAAUAUAAAGGAAAGAGUUAUCGGGCUACUGUUGAAAUAGUGAAAACAGCAGAUCGGGUGACUGAAUUCUGCCGGCAAACCUGUAUCAAACUGGAAUGCUGUCCUAACCUCUUUGGUCCACGGAUGGUUCUGGAUACAUGUUCUGAGAACUGCUCUGUACUUACAAAGACCAAAUACAAUGCUAGAGAGGAUUUGGAAUAUUCCCAACAAAAAAGAAAUGCACACUAUUACGGAAAGAAGAAAAAUAAAAGAAUUGGGAGGCCACCUGGUGGGCAUAGUAACUUAGCUUGUGCCCUGAAAAAAGCCAGUAAGAGAAGAAAAAGGCGGAAAAAUGUUUUUGUUCAUAAGAAGAAACGCUCCUCUGCAUCUGUUGACAAUACCCCAGUGGGCUCACCCCAGGGAAGUGGGGUUGAAGAUGAAGAUGAUGUAGAUGAAGGGGAUGAUGAUUCCCUAAGUGAAGGCAGUACAUCAGAGCAGCAGGAUGAGUUACAGGAAGAGUCAGAAAUGUCAGAAAAAAAGUCAUGCUCCUCCUCUCCCACCCAAAGUGAGAUGUCCACCUCGCUGCUCCCAGACCGACAAAGGAGAAAGAGAGAGCUUCGUACUUUCUCAUUUUCUGAUGAUGAAAAUAAACCUCCUUCACCAAAGGAAAUAAGGAUUGAAGUUGCUGAAAGACUUCAUCUGGAUAGUAACCCCCUGAAGUGGAGUGUGGCAGAUGUUGUGCGGUUCAUCAGAUCCACCGACUGUGCUCCAUUAGCAAGAAUAUUCCUAGACCAGGAAAUCGAUGGGCAGGCCCUGUUGCUCCUCACCCUUCCCACCGUUCAAGAGUGCAUGGACUUAAAAUUGGGCCCUGCCAUCAAGCUUUGCCAUCACAUAGAGAGGAUCAAGUUUGCUUUUUAUGAGCAGUUUGCCAACUGAGAAGGACAACCAAAGUGAGCUGGACCUUUGAAGCACAAAUGCAGCAAAUCCUUCACCCUAUUCUAGAAAUGGAGCUGGAUAGUCCUGGGGCUAUGGGCCCUGUGGGUGUUGGCUUGCGCUCUUUGCACUUUCAGGGAAGGAGGACCCACACUGAGGAAGCAAAAUGGCACAAAAGUGGCUCUCCUGCCAGUGGAAAUGUGGACAUCUCAUGUUCAGCACAUUGCAGUUUUUAGGAAAUAAAGAUUGUGAAGAAAAAACUCACACGAAGAGUAAGCAUUUCCAGUGGUGUGGACUGAAGACAAAGAAUAAUCUAGCUCAGGAAAAGUAGGAAGAGCAGAACCCACAGUGACCUUGCUCCUGACACUGGAGAUUCUGCCCUUGAACCCUAAAGAUGAUUCUUGUUCUCUUUGAGCCUUAAGGGUUCCUCCGCAUCUGGAUGUGCAGACAGGUCCUUAUCCAAAACUUCAUUUUUCAGCCCACUGUGCAGUUUUCCUUGAGCUAUCUGUGUCUUCAAGCAACCCAAAGUCUCCUUAUUCCCAAUCACAGUCUCCUCUGCUUUAAGACAUGUCCUCUGGUUUGGUUCUCUCUGAACAACUACUGUUAAUCGUUGAGCAUCCUCAUAAGAUUUCUCUUGGUCUUGAAGGCAGUAAUCUAAUUUUAAUCUUCUUUUAUCCAUUUAUUUUCUUAAACUGAUUUUCUGUAAUUGCCCAUGGUCAAUAUUUGUGCAGAGUUUUAAAAUUUAUAAAUUAAACUUCAACUUAAUUUAAAAAGUA